GACGAACGCUGGCGGCGUGCCUAAUACAUGCAAGUUGAGCGCUGAAGGUUGGUACUUGUCCCCACUGGAUGAGCAGCCAACGGGUGAGUAACGCGUGGGGAAUCUGCCUUUGAGCGGGGGACAACAUUUGGAAACGAAUGCUAAUACCGCAUAAAAACUUUAAACACAAGUUUUAAGUUUGAAAGAUGCAAUUGCAUCACUCAAAGAUGAUCCUGCGUUGUAUUAGCUAGUUGGUGAGGUAAAGGCUCACCAAGGCGAUGAUACAUAGCCGACCUGAGAGGGUGAACGGCCACAAUGGGACUGAGACAAGGACCAAACUACUACGGGGAGCAGCAGUAGGGAAUCUUCGGAAAUGGACGAAAGUCUGACCGAGCAACGCCGCGUGGGUGAAGAAGGUUUUCGGAUCGUAAAACUCUGUUGGUAGAGAAGAACGUUGGUGAGGGUGGAAAGCGCAUCAAGUGACGGUAACUACCCAGAAAGGAACGGAUAACUACGUG
rnacentral:rRNA from 1 species